rnacentral:snRNA from 1 species
UUACCAACGUGCGCGGGGAUACCGUGAUCAAGAAGGCGGUGCCUCCAGGACGAGGCCUGUACAUUGCACUCCGUAUGGGCUGACUCCUGCGACUACCCAAAAUCGGGGUGGGCUCGAGCGCAUAAUUUUUUUUGGUAGUGGGGACAAGCGUUCGCGCGCCCUUU